CCUACGGGUGGCAGCAGUGAGGAAUAUUGGUCAAUGGUCGUGAGACUGAACCAGCCAAGUAGCGUGCAGGAAGAAGGUACUUAGUGUUGUAAACUUCUUUUGUCGGGGAACAAAGGCGGUGACGUGUGUUCGGUUGUGUGUACCCGAAGAAUAAGCAUCGGCUAAUUCCGUGCCAGCAGCCGCGGUAAUACGGAGGAUGCGAGCGUUAUCCGGAUUUAUUGGGUUUAAAGGGUGCGCGGGCGGGAGAUCAAGCUAGCGGUAAAAUGUCGGGGCUCAACCCCGGCCGGCCGUUGGAACUGGUUUGCUAGAGUUGGAGAAAAGUAUGCGGAAUUCGUGGUGUAGCGGUGAAAUGCAUAGAUAUCACGAAGAACUCCGAUUGCGAAGGCAGCAUACCGCCGCCAUACUGACGCUGAAGCACGAAGGCGUGGGUAUCGAACAGGAUUAGAUACCCUUGUAGUC
rnacentral:rRNA from 1 species